UCAGCAACUAAAGAAAGCAUAGGCCUGAUA
rnacentral:piRNA from 1 species